rnacentral:lncRNA from 1 species
GAAUCAUUGAAAUGUUGAUAGCUCAUGGAAAAUUUACAUUCAUUGAUUCUGAAAAAUAAUUACAUCAGUCAACGCUCUAUUAUGUUUCCGCUCUUUCAGUGCUCUAUACACGUGACCUGAGUUCAUGUCAAGCAAUAUAUUAACGUAUUAACAUAACAAUAUCUCAUAAAGUACUUGUGAAUAUCUGGACAACAAUGAUUUUGGAGUUGCUUUUGUUCAUGGUCUGCACUUCAGCCUCUUAUCCCAUAUUUUUCAGAGUAUCUUGUCCUUUUUUUGAAGUAAACAGAGUAUCUUGUCCUCAACAGAGGUUAGUGCCACAAUUUUUUUUGCCUGACCUUUCUCCAAUUUUGAUUGCCUCAGCCGUUCACUCUACAAAUUAAAGAGAUUUAGAAGUAGAACUCUAAAAACAAAUGUCAAACAAUGAAUCUCAAGACUUAUUUUUUAGCAACAAUAAUCGCAAACUGGUAUGAUUUGACAGAGAUUGAGAUCAGCAUUAGGAUUAAACCCAGAUAAAGUGAUACAGAAUCCUAUUUAUUAGCAACAAACCUCAGUGCUGCAGCCUAACACAAUCUUACUGGGAAUAAACUGCAGAUGCUAGGAUUGAACAUAUGGACAAAUAAAGUAGUGCAUAUAAUUUCAUAAAAGCAAAGAUAGGUCAGGUAUCCAAUAGACCAAUACUCCAUCAACUGAAAGUAAAGUUCAGACUUGAGACAGAAGAAGUAACCAAAUGUUGUAUAAAUAAAGGCAGAAAACAGGAAUGUCAAGAACUGGAAAGGAGAAUGAAACACUGUUAGCGAUGUAUAUCGCAUAUGCAAUGCUUUGAUCCUGCUUUAAGUGGGUUGUAAAGUCCAUGCUUUAAGCAUUUAGAUAAACUCUCCACAAAUGGCUGCAGAAGAAAAAAAAAACCAUCGUUUAGUAUUCACCUUAAAUCUAUAAUCUGCACCAAACCUGCUGAGAGUCUCC